GACGAACGCUGGCGGCGUGCCUAACACAUGCAAGUCGAACGGAAAGGCCCUGCUUUUGUGGGGUGCUCGAGUGGCGAACGGGUGAGUAACACGUGAGUAACCUGCCCUUGACUUUGGGAUAACUUCAGGAAACUGGGGCUAAUACCGGAUAGGAGCUCCUGCUGCAUGGUGGGGGUUGGAAAGUUUCGGCGGUUGGGGAUGGACUCGCGGCUUAUCAGCUUGUUGGUGGGGUAGUGGCUUACCAAGGCUUUGACGGGUAGCCGGCCUGAGAGGGUGACCGGCCACAUUGGGACUGAGAUACGGCCCAGACUCCUACGGGAGGCAGCAGUGGGGAAUAUUGCACAAUGGGCGGAAGCCUGAUGCAGCAACGCCGCGUGCGGGAUGACGGCCUUCGGGUUGUAAACCGCUUUCGCCUGUGACGAAGCGUGAGUGACGGUAAUGGGUAAAGAAGCACCGGCUAACUACGUGCCAGCAGCCGCGGUGAUACGUAGGGUGCGAGCGUUGUCCGGAUUUAUUGGGCGUAAAGGGCUCGUAGGUGGUUGAUCGCGUCGGAAGUGUAAUCUUGGGGCUUAACCCUGAGCGUGCUUUCGAUACGGGUUGACUUGAGGAAGGUAGGGGAGAAUGGAAUUCCUGGUGGAGCGGUGGAAUGCGCAGAUAUCAGGAGGAACACCAGUGGCGAAGGCGGUUCUCUGGGCCUUUCCUGACGCUGAGGAGCGAAAGCGUGGGGAGCGAACAGGCUUAGAUACCCUGGUAGUCCACGCUGUAAACGGUGGGUACUAGGCGUGGGGUCCAUUCCACGGGUUCCGUGCCGUAGCUAACGCUUUAAGUACCCCGCCUGGGGAGUACGGCCGCAAGGCUAAAACUCAAAGGAAUUGACGGGGCCCCGCACAAGCGGCGGAGCAUGCGGAUUAAUUCGAUGCAACGCGUAGAACCUUACCUGGGUUUGACAUGGAUCGGGAGUGCUCAGAGAUGGGUGUGCCUCUUUUGGGGUCGGUUCACAGGUGGUGCAUGGCUGUCGUCAGCUCGUGUCGUGAGAUGUUGGGUUAAGUCCCGCAACGAGCGCAACCCUUGUUCACUGUUGCCAGCACGUUAUGGUGGGGACUCAGUGGAGACCGCCGGGGUCAACUCGGAGGAAGGUGGGGAUGACGUCAAGUCAUCAUGCCCCUUAUGUCCAGGGCUUCACGCAUGCUACAAUGGCUGGUACAGAGAGUGGCGAGCCUGUGAGGGUGAGCGAAUCUCGGAAAGCCGGUCUCAGUUCGGAUUGGGGUCUGCAACUCGACCUCAUGAAGUCGGAGUCGCUAGUAAUCGCAGAUCAGCAACGCUGCGGUGAAUACGUUCCCGGG
rnacentral:rRNA from 1 species